AUGCAGAAACAAGCCAUCCAGCUGGAGGACUCUGCUGUCUACUUCUGUGCCUUCAGAAGAAGCACAGGACAAUCAGUUGAUCAAACAUCUGGCAUUGUGACCAUUACUGAAGGACAAUCUCUUUCUCUCAGUUGUUCCUAUGAAGCACAGAAUAGUGUCAUGCAUUACCCAUUCUGGUACAUUCAGCAUCCUGGUCAGCCUCUGAAGAUCUUGUUGACCAAGUUUUACAAAAAUGUCCAAGGAUUCCAGGCUGCUCACUAUGAAAAUGAUACAAAAGGAACUUUCAACAUGCAGAAACAAGGCAUCCAGUUGGAGGACUCUGCUGUCUAUUUCUGUGCCUUCACAGAGACACAUAGAUUAUUUGCAAGAAAUUUAAAGAAUCCAAACAAAAGUAUUCAGUUGAAAUGA